AUUGAACGCUGGCGGCAGGCCUAACACAUGCAAGUCGAACGAGUGGCGGACGGGUGAGUAAUGUCUGGGAAACUGCCUGAUGGAGGGGGAUAAAUACUGGAAACGGUAGAUAAUACCGCAUACCAUCAGAUGUGCCCAGAUGGGAUUAGCUAGUUGGUGGGGUAACGGCUCACCAAGGCGACGAUCCCUAGCUGGUCUGAGAGGAUGACCAGCCACACGUGAACUUAGCCACUGUCCAGACUCCUACGCGAGGCAGCAGUGGUGAAUAUUGCACAAUGGGCGCAAGCCUGAGUCAGCCAUGCCGCGUGUAUGAAGAAGGCCUUCGGGUUGUUAAGUACUUUCAGCGGGGAGGCGUUAACCGCAGAAGAAGCACCGGCUAACUCCGUGCCAGCCGCCGCGGUAAUAC
rnacentral:rRNA from 1 species